rnacentral:rRNA from 1 species
CUCGACUGCAUGAAGCUGGAAUCGCUGUAAUCGCGAAUCAGCAUGUCGCGGUGAAUACGUUCCCGGGUCUUGUACACACCGCCCGUCACACCAUGGGAGUCGGAAAUGCCCGAAGCCAGUGACCCAACCUUUAAGGAGGGAGCUGUCGAAGGCAGGUCUGGUAACUGGGGUGAAGUCGUAACAAGGUAGC